rnacentral:rRNA from 1 species
CUACGGGGGGCUGCAGUGGGGAAUUUUGCACAAUGGGCGCAAGCCUGAUGCAGCCAUGCCGCGUGUAUGAAGAAGGCCUUCGGGUUGUAAAUUACUUUCAGCGGGGAGGAAGGGAGUAAAGUUAAUACCUUUGCUCAUUGACGUUACCCGCAGAAGAAGCACCGGCUAACUCCGUGCCAGCAGCCGCGGUAAUACGGAGGGUGCAAGCGUUAAUCGGAAUUACUGGGCGUAAAGCGCACGCAGGCGGUUUGUUAAGUCAGAUGUGAAAUCCCCGGGCUCAACCUGGGAACUGCAUCUGAUACUGGCAAGCUUGAGUCUCGUAGAGGGGGGUAGAAUUCCAGGUGUAGCGGUGAAAUGCGUAGAGAUCUGGAGGAAUACCGGUGGCGAAGGCGGCCCCCUGGACGAAGACUGACGCUCAGGUGCGAAAGCGUGGGGAGCAAACAGGAUUAGAUACCCGAGUAGUC